GAUGAACGCUAGCGGCAGGCCUAAUACAUGCAAGUCGGACGGGAUCCAUUGAUAGCUUGCUAUCAAUGGUGAGAGUGGCGCACGGGUGCGUAACGCGUGAGCAACCUGCCUCCAUCAGGGGGAUAGCCUCUCGAAAGAGAGAUUAACACCGCAUAAUAUCAACAGUUCGCAUGUUCAGUUGAUUAAAUAUUUAUAGGAUGGAGAUGGGCUCGCGUGACAUUAGCUAGUUGGUAGGGUAACGGCUUACCAAGGCGACGAUGUCUAGGGGCUCUGAGAGGAGAAUCCCCCACACUGGUACUGAGACACGGACCAGACUCCUACGGGAGGCAGCAGUAAGGAAUAUUGGUCAAUGGGCGGAAGCCUGAACCAGCCAUGCCGCGUGCAGGAUGACUGCCCUAUGGGUUGUAAACUGCUUUUGUCCAGGAAUAAACCUAAAUACGAGUAUUUAGCUGAAGGUACUGGAAGAAUAAGGAUCGGCUAACUCCGUG
rnacentral:rRNA from 1 species